GGUCAUGAGCGCCAGCGUCAAGCCCCGGCUCGCUGGCCGGCAACCCUCGUCCGCGCAGGGGUGCCCCGGGUGAAGACCAGGCAUCGGAGCGGCUCCGGUGCAAGCGCGGCCU
rnacentral:ncRNA from 1 species